rnacentral:rRNA from 1 species
UACGUAGGGUGCAAGCGUUGUCCGGAAUUAUUGGGCGUAAAGAGCUCGUAGGCGGUCUGUCGCGUCGAAUGUGAAAAUCCGAGGCUCAACCUCGGACCUGCAUUCGAUACGGGCAGGCUAGAGUUCGGUAGGGGAGUCUGGAAUUCCUGGUGUAGCGGUGAAAUGCGCAGAUAUCAGGAGGAACACCGGUGGCGAAGGCGGGACUCUGGGCCGAUACUGACGCUGAGGAGCGAAAGCGUGGGGAGCAAACAGG